AUCCCUCAGACCACGAGCACCGAGCCACGCUCUGAGCAAAACCGCUGUCAGCAGCGGCUCGAGUUUAGUCCUGGUUGUCCGCAGAGUGGGAUCAGCAAUGCCACCGCCAGAGGAUGGACAGCUCGGGGUGCGGAGGCUGCUUCUCUCAGUACCGUCGGGGGGGAACUCCGCGCGUCCAUUCAACGGAGUUAACACGAGGAAAAAAAAGCCUUUUUCCACCGCUCCGAGAAUUUCGCCCCCGUUGGACGGAGAGGAGUUGCGGGACAUUGCUGGAGAGUGGGGGUUCCUAAAGGGAAUUAAUUGAACGGCAGCCAGACUCUCUCCGCCCGCUUCUCUUGCCCGGCUGAGCCCCACGCAGCUCCCCGUGCCCCCCAUCCCUCCACCUGUCCCGACUCAGCCCCUCCGUGCUGCCAUCCCCGGCCACCCCAGGGGCCCCGAUCCGGCCGCCCCAUCCUAUGGUAGGGACCGUCCUUCGCUCGGCGCUGCUCAGGAGAAGAACUCGGAGCUGAAAACGGUGCGCUUACGAUAAAAUGAUAAUAACACAACAACAACGACGGCGACAAAAAUCUGAAAUAAAAUGAGGUAACCCUUUUGGAAUUACGUUUCCAUGCGUAUUUGUCAGUGCUGACGAAGCGCAG